UUUUCGCGCAGAAUAUUAGCUACGAGAGCGAAGCCUUUUCUAGCUUCGCUAAAUCGGACCACAAGAAAGAUUGAAAGCUGUACGACUUUUACCAUUUUGGUCACAAUCGAGGAAUCAGCUGCUCUAGUGGAAAAAUAUUGAGGCUAUUUUUUACCAGAAAUUUGAAUUUACUACCACAAGUGCAAACUUUCGGGCCAUCUUUUAAAAACCCAAAGCUACAAAUGGCAAGCAAUUUCAGGAUGUUUCUCAUCGUGUGCUUGGUAUCCCUGUGCUUACUGCCCAGUUUGCUAGCGAACCCGAUGCAAGCGGCUUUGGCCAGUGUUCACUGCGAACGCAGAGGUUACACGUUCCCUGUUAGAGUCGUGGGCUGCCAGGAGCGGAUGGUGACUGUCAAUACAUGUCUGGGGACCUGUCUGUCUUUCUCGACGCCAACUGGAUCCAAGUAUGAACAAGUGGAGUCCUGCACUUGCUGUGAGCCGACAAAAAAAGCGACGAUCGAUGUAGGGCUCUGGUGCCAAGACACGAGCAAUCCAGGCAACGUUGUCAAGUAUUUUCAUAAAGUGGAGAGUGUGACUGAGUGUGCAUGUGCUUCUUGUUGAUGUAGCUGAACAAAAACAUUGCAGAAUCCUCAAACCUUCUACGAACAUUAACUGGCUGUAUAAAUCAUGAAUUUAAUUUUCGAUUGACAUUGGUAAAUUUGAGUUAAUUAGGCUGUUUUUUUGAUGUGACGAAAGCAUUCCUUGUCUUGCUGUUACAAUUACAGCCUCGUUCACUUAGAGAUAUAUUCUAAUAUUUUAAUAAAAAUGUAAAAAAGA